UUUGUUCUUUCCUUAUAUUGGAACUGUGAGUUGUCAAAAAGAAUAUAUACACACAAGUCUUUAGUGUGGUUUUUGAACCUGAGAUAAAGAAUAAAGAAGACCAAAGAGUUGUGGUGAUGGAAAAAGGGAGAUGCUGCGAGAUGAUAUCAAUCAAUCAUCAAUGUUUUAGGACAGAAAAUGUAAAUGCCAAGGGAGAGAAAAGAAACUCAGAAAGGGGAGUAGUUGUGAUACACUUUGCAACUUUGUUUCUCUCAGAGGCUUUUUAUUCAGAAGAUUGAAUGCAAAGAGAUUUUAUUAUGUACAGUUGUAAAAGACUUGAACAAAGAAAAGAAAUUGCUGCUAGAGUUGUGUAGAAUGGUUCAGUUUAAGGACGAUAAUGUUUGGGAUGAGUUACAUGGUAGAUCCAAUUUGUUACCCUCAAGGUAAUAUGUCUGUUGAAACCUAUUGGGAGAAUCAGCAGCUCCCUAGCUAUAUGCUCUCAUUGUGGCAUUAAAGGAUCGGACAUACAGUAGAUCGAUGGAUGUUAUAACUAAGAAGCAUGGUUAUUCACCUGGAUAUAUCUAAGCCGAGAUCUUCAAAUAUUGGAAAUGCAUCCAAUGAUGGUUCUAAAUCUGCUGCAAACAAUGCUAUUAUUUCUUCCUAAAUCAUUCGCCAGAUUUUUUCUCCAGUCUUAACUCUGACCAUUAGUGCCACAAUGAUGAACAUGCACAGUUCCCAUCUUCGGGCUGCAAAAUAAAAAACCAAUAAUAUAUAUUACUAUAGCCACACCCAUCACUCACGCUACAAGUAUUUACUCGGCUUCCUCUACUGAAUCACAACAUGAUUGUUGGAUAGCAUUUGUCGAAAUCCUUAUGCUUUCAAAAUUUUGGAUUCUGCAUAUAACAUGUUUGGUUACUCUGCCAAAUGGUUGUUGUUGCAUUUCUAUCGUUUAUUGGAGAUGUUGUGAUCAUCACUGAUUCCUUGUUA